AAUUUCUGUUUGAUUCGUUAUGAUUUAUCUAAAAUCCAAACUUUAUUUCUCUUUGAAAAUACAUUAAUUCCAGUAGAUGUUGAGUUGAAAAAUUACAGAUAAUUCCUCAGUAAUGGAAUUUGAUUUUUAAGCUUUUAAAAUUUGGAUUAUCUGUAAUUUACACCAUAGACAUUGAUUUUUAAGUUGUGAAUAGUUCCAUCACAGAAAUGCAUAUAUACCUGUGAAUAGUUCCAUCACAGAAAUUCGUGAGAAUAGUUUCAUCACAUAGUAUAUAUCCCUGUGAAUACUUCCAUCACCAUAGUAUAUAUACUUGUGAAGAGUUCCAUCACAUAGUAUAUAUACCUUAGAUGUAAUUUUGGUUUUAAUUCACCGUAGGCUUUGUCUCUUCAAUGUAAUGUUGAUUCAUUGUGGUUUGUUUUUAAUCCAUAAUUUAUUUCUCUUUUAAAAUAGAUUAAUUCCUGUAGAUGUUUAGUUGAAAAAUUACAAAUAAUUCCUCAGUAAAAGCUCAAAAAAAGACAUGGAUGAUUCACCGAAUUCGUUGUCUCCUUCUGUACUACAUAUGAUAGAUGUCAUAGAGAAUGAAUUUUUAUCCAAAAAAGUCAUUGAAAAAGAACAUGACCUUUAUUCAAAUACUGCAUUUGAAAAUGAAAUACUUAGGCAACAAGACAAAGAUUAUCAAAAUGAAGUAAAUGAGCAAAGAACUAGAAGAUUGUCCGUUGAAAAAAGUACAGAUUGGAAGUAUGAGAAAUUAAGAUCAACUAUCAAGACAAAAUGGGAAAUGAUGCAGCAAAUGAAGUCUAACAAUGAAGGCAUUAACGUGAAAAUGGAGCAAAUAAUGAAUGAAAUAUACUUUGAAGCUUUCCAACAAAGUACCGUAGUAGAGAGUACUCUAGAAGAAAAAGUGUAUCUGAAUAUAUAAGAACAAGAAAUUUUGGAUCCAGAUUUUGAUAUUUAUGGAACAAAAUUUGUUGAAGAAAAGAAAUAUGCAGUAGAGAGUACUAAUAAGAUGCUUCAAAAAGAAAAGGGAAUAAGAAAUGCGACAACACCACAGUCAUCUGAACUAAAUAAAGAAGUAGCAAGAGCAAUCAUGGGUGUCCUGAACGACACUAUGGGUUAUUAAAAAAAAAAAGGGUAUACCUAUCAAAAGAGUUGUGAAAGAGCUGAAGUUUAUUCCUUUCUUGGUUAAUAAAUUGCUGGAGAUGAAUGAAAUUGAAACAAGUUCAAAUGAAAAGUUGUUAUAAGAAUUAUUUCAAGGGGCCGCGUCAGCAUAUAUCUAUGCUUCUCUAUAUGAACCACAUUUGGGUGAUGACAAUACUGAAGAAUUUUCAGAGCUAAAAAUAUCCGCUGAAAGAGCUAUCAUGACUCUCCUAAAUAACACUCUUUAUUCUUCCGAAGUAACAAAACUUGAUGAUAGUGAAGAUCCAAAUUUGUAUCUUGACAACGAUUUACAAGGCGUACGAACGGUUGAGAUUGAGCAAGAUUCUGUCAAGAUUCACAUGGUUGGGGAAGCCAAAGAAAACAUUGAAAACGUAGCAAAUAUGAAAGUGAAAAUUGAAAAAGAGCUUACCUUGAGCCAACUACACGAAGACUGUUUCCUUCCUGAAACUUUUGUAGCAGAAAAAUUAUGUGGAAGAGUUCUACAAAAUUCACAAGCAAGUAGCCCAACCUUUUCAUUAGGUUUUGGUUUUUCCACAAAAGAUUUUGAACAUGUAUUUUUUUUAAUAUUUUAUAUUUUGUACACACAUUUUGUCUUUGAACUUCAACCAAAGAAAUAUUAAAAAAAGAUUUUGAAGAAGUA